rnacentral:rRNA from 1 species
CUGGGGCUCUUACCAUGCAAGUUGAACGUGAAGCCUAGUACCUAGUAUUGGGCGGAAAGUGGCGAACGGGUGAGUAACACGUUGGUGACCUGUCCCGAGGAGGGGGAUAACCGUGGGAAACCACGGCUAAUACCCCAGAUGUCUGGAUUGUUAGAGGAUCUAGACUAAAGCUCCGGCGCCUUGGGAGGGACCUGCGGGCUAUCAGCUUGUUGGUGGGGUAAAGGCCUACCAAGGCUAAGACGGCUAGGGGGCGUGAGAGCGCGACCCCCCACAAUGGAACUGAGACACGGUCCAUACUCCUACGGGAGGCAGCAGUGAGGAAUAUUGCGCAAUGGGGGCAACCCUGACGCAGCAACGCCGCGUGGAUGAUGAAGGCCUUCGGGUUGUAAAAUCCUUUUCUGAGGGACGAUAAUGACGGUACCUCAGGAAUAAGUCCCGGCUAACUACGUGCCAGCAGCCGCGGUAAAACGUAGGGGGCGAGCGUUAUCCGGAUUUAUUGGGCGUAAAGCGCACGUAGGCGGCGCUGUAAGUUGGACGUGAAAGCUCCCGGCUCAACUGGGAGAGGUCGUUCAAUACUGCGGUGCUUGAGGUUGGAAGAGGAGAGUGGAAUUCCCGGUGUAGUGGUGGAAUGCGUAGAUAUCGGGAGGAACACCAGUGGCGAAGGCGGCUCUCUGGUCCACACCUGACGCUGAGGUGCGAAAGCGUGGGGAGCGAACGGGAUUAGAUACCCCGGUAGUCCACGCUGUAAACGAUGGAUACUAGGGUGUAGGAGGUUAUUUACCCCUUCUGUGCCGUAGCUAACGCGUUAAGUAUCCCGCCU